rnacentral:rRNA from 1 species
UGGGGAAUAUUGCGCAAUGGGCGGAAGCCUGACGCAGCGACGCCGCGUGGGGGAUGAAGGCCUUCGGGUUGUAAACCUCUUUUACCACUCACGAAGGCCCCUGGUUUUCUGGGGGUUGACGGUAGGUGGUGAAUAAGGACCGGCUAACUACGUGCCAGCAGCCGCGGUAAUACGUAGGGUCCGAGCGUUGUCCGGAAUUAUUGGGCGUAAAGAGCUCGUAGGCGGCCUGUCGCGUCUGCUGUGAAAGUCCGGGGCUUAACUCCGGGUGUGCAGUGGAUACGGGCAGGCUUGAGGUAGGUAGGGGAGACUGGAAUUCCUGGUGUAGCGGUGAAAUGCGCAGAUAUCAGGAGGAACACCGGUGGCGAAGGCGGGUCUCUGGGCCUUACCUGACGCUGAGGAGCGAAAGCGUGGGGAGCGAACAGGAUUAGAUACCC